rnacentral:tRNA from 1 species
GGGCGAUUAGCUCAGUUGGUUAGAGCGCUGCCCUCACAUGGCAGAGGUCACAGGUUCGAAUCCUGUAUCGCCCACCA